rnacentral:rRNA from 1 species
CCUACGGGGGACAGCAGUGGGGAAUAUUGCACAAUGGGGGAAACCCUGAUGCAGCGACGCCGCGUGAGUGAAGCAGUAAUUCGUUACGUAAAGCUCUAUCAGCAGGGAAGAAACACUGACCUUACGGUCAGCAGACGGUACCUGAGUAAGAAGCACCGGCUAACUACGUGCCAGCAGCCGCGGUAAUACGUAGGGGGCAAGCGUUAUCCGGAUGUACUGGGUGUAAAGGGAGCGUAGACGGUGCGCCAGGUCUGGAGUGAAAUGCCGCAGCUUAACUGCGGAACUGCUUUGGAAACUGGCGAACUAGAGUGCGGGAGGGGUAAGCGGAAUUCCUAGUGUAGCGGUGAAAUGCGUAGAUAUUAGGAGGAACACCGGUGGCGAAGGCGGCUUACUGGACCGUAACUGACGUUGAGGCUCGAAAGCGUGGGGAGCAAACAGGAUUAGAUACCCUUGUAGUC